GCUGGGCAUGGUGGUGCAUGCCUGUAAUCCAAGCUACUCAGGAGGCUGAGGCAGAAGAAUCACUUGAACCCAGGAGAUGAAGGGUGCAGUGAGCCGAGGUCAUGCCACUGCACUCCAGCCUCCUGGGCAACACAGAGAGACUCUGUCUCAA
ensembl:misc_RNA Metazoa_SRP Metazoan signal recognition particle RNA